GACGAACGCUGGCGGCGUGCCUAACACAUGCAAGUCGAACGGUGAGAUUUCCUUCGGGAGAUCACUUAGUGACGAACGGGUGAGUAACGCGUGAGAAACCUGCCUUUCAGUGGGGGACAACAGUUGGAAACGACUGCUAAUACCGCAUAAUGUAUCGAUGGGGCAUCCUGUUGAUACCAAAGCUUUAUGUGCUGAAAGAUGGUCUCGCGUCUGAUUAGCUAGAUGGCGGGGUAACGGCCCACCAUGGCGACGAUCAGUAGCCGGUCUGAGAGGAUGAACGGCCACAUUGGGACUGAGAUACGGCCCAGACUCCUACGGGAGGCAGCAGUGGGGAAUAUUGGGCAAUGGGGGAAACCCUGACCCAGCAACGCCGCGUGAAGGAAGAAGGCCUUCGGGUUGUAAACUUCUUUUACCAGGGACGAAGAACGUGACGGUACCUGGAGAAAAAGCAACGGCUAACUACGUGCCAGCCGCCGCAGUAAGAC
rnacentral:rRNA from 1 species